rnacentral:rRNA from 1 species
UGCGCAGGCGGGCUUGUAAGUCAGUGGUGAAAUUUUGCGGCUUAACCGUAAAACUGCCAUUGAUACUGCAAGUCUUGAAUAUGGUUGAGGUAGGCGGAAUGUGUUGUGUAGCGGUGAAAUGCAUAGAUAUGACACAGAACUCCGAUUGCGAAGGCAGCUUACUAAGCCAUAACUGACGCUGAGGCACGAAAGCGUGGGGAGCGAACAGGAUUAGAUACCCUGGUAGUCC